rnacentral:rRNA from 1 species
UACAGAGGGGGCAAGCGUUGUUCGGAAUUACUGGGCGUAAAGGGCGCGUAGGCGGCCUGUUAAGUCGGACGUGAAAUCCCUCGGCUCAACCGGGGAACUGCGUCCGAUACUGGCGGGCUUGAAUUCGGGAGAGGGAUGUGGAAUUCCAGGUGUAGCGGUGAAAUGCGUAGAUAUCUGGAGGAACACCGGUGGCGAAGGCGGCAUCCUGGACCGACAUUGACGCUGAGGCGCGAAAAGC